ACAUAACAAAUUAACAAACCAAGUAGCUAGGCUAACCAUUAACAAAUGCACUAAUUGAAUCUACAUGACAUUCAAAUUUCACAUUAAGACAGCAAAGAGUAAAAAAAAAAAAAAAAUUUCUAUCAUGAUGGAAUAUGGUAGAGACUUACAUCUCCACUCCUUUCCUUCAUUUUCUUAAUUAUAAUUAGGAAUAUCUUCGAAUCCGAUUCAAGUACGUACACAAAUAAAAAAACUUAAUUACACGUAUAAAACAUUACCAAAUUUCAACGAAUCUAUCAUGGCGCAUCAACAUGUUUAUUUCCGGUGGAACACAUGGUUGAACCAAGAGUACUAUAAUUUAUAUAUCGGCUAGGAGCUGAAGUUCUAUGAAACCCUUUCGGCAAACAAUUCUCUACAUCUUUACCACGAAACUCUCCAUUUCCGUGACUUGUUUUUGGCUUGAAGGUUGCGAAAUCCUUCGGCGAUUUCAAUGCCAAUGGCCUUGCAGCUGCCACCAGUGGAUGUAUAGAAUUUGUGCCGGCCAUCAUCACUGAGGGAGACAGAAAGAGGAGAGAAUAGAAGAAAAAUAUGAGGAAAACAAAAGGAGAAAUAGACAUAUCAGUUGUUGUUGUAUGUUAAAUUGUUUAGGAAUUGUGAAGUGUUAAUAAAUUGGGGUAGAGUUGAAGAGGGAAGAAUGGAGAGGUAGGGCUUUAAAUAGGGAAACUCGUGAAAGAAAUGAAGAAUGUAGAUGUGAUUCCAACUCAUAG
rnacentral:lncRNA from 1 species